rnacentral:rRNA from 1 species
UACGUAGGGUGCAAGCGUUAUCCGGAAUUAUUGGGCGUAAAGAGCUCGUAGGCGGUUUGUCACGUCUGCUGUGAAAACUGGAGGCUCAACCUUCAGAGGUCGACCGAAACCAUCUGGCUAGAGUCCGGGAGAGGAGAGUGGAAUUCCUGGUGUAGCGGUGAAAUGCGCAGAUAUCAGGAGGAACACCGAUGGCGAAGGCAGGUCUCUGGGCCGAUACUGACGCUGAGGAGCGAAAGCGUGGGGAGCGAACAGG